UACGUAGGGUGCAAGCGUUGUCCGGAAUUAUUGGGCGUAAAGAGCUCGUAGGCGGUUUGUCGCGUCUGCUGUGAAAACUCGGGGCUUAACUCCGGGCCUGCAGUGGGUACGGGCAGACUAGAGUGCGGUAGGGGAGACUGGAAUUCCUGGUGUAGCGGUGAAAUGCGCAGAUAUCAGGAGGAACACCGGUGGCGAAGGCGGCAUCCUGGACCGACACUGACGCUGAGGAGCGAAAGCCAGGGGAGCAAACGGG
rnacentral:rRNA from 1 species